UUAUUUAUUAACAUCUAACAUUAUAAUUUAUAGUUUUAUUUUUAUAUAUCAAGCAAGGAAAAUACAUAUACAUCUAAAAAUAGAAUGAGUUUAUAGAAAAACCUGAUGAUGAGGAUGAGAUGUUCAAAAAAAUAGAAGGAGAUGAAAAUGGAGAUCAAAGUAUGCUUGAGGCCGAGAUUACGGUAUGCUGGAGAUUUUAUGGUAUGCUGGAGAUGGAGACUGGAGGAGGGAAGUGUGGAGAUGGAGACUGGAGAAGGGAAGUGUGGAAAAGGAGAAGGAGAAGGAGAAGAAGAGAGGAAAGAAUGCUUGGAUUAAAAAUGGGGAAAAUGGGGGAGAUGAGAGAGACUUUGGCUUUAAAAGCCAAAGUCGAGACCUGAAUGUACGAAAAAGUGUCCGGCACUUAUGGUGCCGAACACUUUUUCUUGACCCCAACUGAUUAAAGAAUUGCUUUUGGUCAAGUCUCCUUAAGGCUUCGUCAGCGGUUCAGAGAUUCUCUGAAUCCCUGACGAAGCCUUGAAUGCUGCUGGACAGGCGUGUUGGGCACCCAUCUCUAAACUCCUGACGAAGCCUUGGAUGGUGCUGGACAGGCAUGUUCGGCAUCCAAAGUGCCGAACACGCCGCGGACACAGGGCAGCUUGUUCGACAGUCACUCUCUAGAAUCCGAAAAUAUUUCGGGAUCUGCCUGAAUUGCUAAUUAUUUUUUUUAUUAUACAUGAAAAAAAGCUCCUGAAACUGCAACAAAAUACAAAUGGAGAAGAGAGACGCCGAAAUGUCGUCGUUGUCGUCGCUAAUAGCGGAGAUGGGAGACGCCGGUGGCAAGUUCUGGAAAUCGCUGUCAUGGAGACCACCAACCACGCCCUAUGCUCGCUCAUCGCCGAACCAGGCGCAGGGAGGCAGGUGGCUCUCCAAGCUGGUCGAUCCUGCUUUCCGUCUUGUAGCUGGCGCCACCGCCCUGACUUUCCCUCCCUUUUUCUCCAAAUUGCAAUCCGUCAAUGCACUACCAGCUCCCAGCGGCGGAGUCGAUGCCUCGUUUACUGAGGUGGGACAAAAUGCUAGUGGCGAUAAUGGCGAUUUCGUUUGGAAUUAAGGUCUUCCACAGUGUCCUGAUAUCUUCCUUCUGCAAAUCUGAGCCUCAACUAUGCUUGUUCUACUUAUGAGUUGCCUUCUCAUGUGUUAUUCCUGCUAAUUUAUUACUGGUUAAUAUAGGAGAUGCAGUGAGCAGGAAACUUGAGGAAAAUACUAAUGGAGUGAAUCAGUAGGUACUUGUUUUGUUUUGACAUAAUGGAGCUCUAAAACAAAGACUUUUUGUGGAUCCCAAUUGGCCCCUGCAUUCAAAUUUAGUGAACGUGUCAAAGCAAUUCCAUGUUGAACUUGCUCUUCUUGAACCUUAUGUGAACUGCGACAAGUGAAGUUAUGCUUACAGAAAAUUCUUACUGCUGUCUAAAGAUUUCACUCUCUCUUGUUUGAAGAUUAGACCUAUUGAAAGGCUGCUAAGCUGCAUUUACUUUUAUAAUGCCACCAAAUGAAGUUUAGAAAGCAUUUCCAGCUAAACUUACAAAAACUAAUAUCUACCUUUUCCUCAAAUCACAGAUAAGAAUAAGCUAUCUUUGGAACUUAACUUACCCCCCUCCCUAGGCAAAAGUAAAAGGAGCAGUAAAAACAAAACAAAAGGAGUGCUGCCUGCUAUCCAACAUGAGGUCAAUUAUUUAUCUUUUUCUACUAUAUACAUUGUGUUUCCUUAAUUAGUUGAGAAGCAUAUAGUGUUUCCUUAAUUAUUUGAGAAGCAUAUUUUGCUUUAACUUUCUUUUUUAUGGAGUAGCUAUUUCUCCAUACUUGUUGGGUCAAUAGUCUGCCUGUGCCUUCUGCUUUCUCUAAGUGCAGAGAACAGUUACUAGUUACUAGUAGCAUUUCAAAUUCACAUAAUUCCAACUCAUUUUCAUGGGUAUGCCAUGCCAUAUUUGCUCUUUUAUGAAAAAUCGGUUACUUUUAAUCAAUGUCUUUGGAUAACAAUAAAAGAUAAUUCUAAUGGCUUAUCAGGAUUCAGAGUAUAUGUUUUUGUUUUCUUUUGCUCUUUUGAACUCUUGCACUGUGAUUGACAUAAACAUGAAGUUCUAUUAUAUGCUUGUGUUGUACUGCUGGAACUAUUUGCCAAAAGUAUCCAUAUUUGAUUGACAUAUCUUGAACUUGUACCAAAAAGUUAUCUCACUACAUAAGCAAUGACGGUGCUGUACGACUUGUGCCUUUUCUGCGAAGAAAGUGUUCUGACUGCGAGGAAAUAUUAUUUUGCAGCAUGUUGAAUGAAAAGCAACUGGAGUAGCCAGUAGUAGCUGUGUAGCACUUAGAUCAAAUAGCCACACUUGACUUUAUUGGGCACGGCCAAAAUUAAAAAGUUAAUGUUUCUGAUCCUAGUGGGCUCUCUGAAAUCAAUGAACUAGUGAAGGAUGAAAGACAUUCCAGGUUAAUUACAUCCGUUGUUGUUAUUUAUUUGUUUUGAACAGCAAACAUUCUUUGUUUAUAUUUGUCUUUACGACGUGAAACAUGGCCUUUUGUUUUGCAUUUUCCCUACAACAUCUACAAGCUAAUGUGGAAUUUGACUGCUAUAAUUUGAUAUGAAAACAUUUCUCUAAUUUCUAUCCAUCUUGUCAUCGGGAUGAAAUUCACCAUCUAAUAGAGAAUAAAUUCAAGGGCUGAUGAUCUUUCUGAGGUUGAGCUAGAACAUAAGUUUUUCAUAAUAAAUAUGGGAGAUCUUAGAGGAUCUGCUGUUGCCCUUGAAUAUUCAGGGAAGUCAACUGAAGCAAAGAAAGAAGAUUUGCAUGGUGCUGUUUAACAAACUCCAAAAAUUAAGAAGAGUAUUUGAGUGAAUUUUCAGUAGAUGCUGGAAAGCUUGCAAAUUCCCUUGAAAUUUCAACGUUUAGAGUUAUUUGGAAAACCUAAACCCCUGUUCUGCAGUUGAAAGUAAGUAGCAUAAAUUAUCAUAAUCAACUUGAAGUUCACUUUGUUAACAUGUUUUUAAUACCAGCUUUGUUAGUCAUAAUAGCUUGUUUGACUCAAUACACAUCCUAGGCCAUGUAUUAACCACUGGAUUCCUUGUAUUAGAGAAGCAUUAUUGUCGAUGAUUGGGGUAGUAUAUAUCGUUAUCUGACCUUCUUUGUAGCCUCUAAUAUAUUUAAUAUGUAUGAUCUAUGUUCCAGCACAUGUACUACUAAAAAUAAGGUCAAGUUAGAUGGCCUUUGCAUCAGAAAUAAGAAGAGCUACAGACAGGACACUUGGAACCAAAAAGAACAUAGGGAGAUGUGAAAAAAGAAAACUGUAAUGUUGGUGACACAUGUGACUUCUAAUUUCUAUUUCUACAAUGUCUACUUUUUAGCUGCUAAAAGAUGGUUGAGUUGUGUAUAUGAAUCUUGUUGUAUCUUGACUUAUGAUAAGACAAGUACAUUGAAAUUUUAUAAAUUUUUUGUUUGCUUGAUAUAUAUCCAUUGAAAUUUUGAUAAUUGUUUUCUAUCUUAUAGCUACAAGAUGAUGUUGGUACAUCACCAGUUGAAAUUGUGAGAGAAUAUAUGGAAAAUCAAACAUCAGAAGUAGGUUUUGGUACUAACAGCUAGUGUCAUAAGAUGGAGGAACAUUAGCUCGAGAUGAUGAGCAUGCAGUAAAACCUUUUAUUCCAUGACCUGUCCCUAAGACAUCUUCAUGCUGGCUAGGUGCCUUGGUACAGGAUCAGUGUGGGUAUGUGACCCCACAAAGUCGGAGACGGAGAUUUGGCCUUCACAAUUUUCCCCAAAUCCCUUAUACUAGAACUAUUUAUAAAAGACUAAGUCCAAAGUAUGCAGAAUUGUGGUUUUAUGUUAUGGUAGUUAUGCUUUAACAUGAGUUAUUGCAGAUGUGAUGAUUGUUUUCUUUUUGUCUCUUCAAAUGAUUCAGUUACAGGGCGAUAGUAAUAGGCUCCUAAACACAACCACUACUCACUUUCAGCAUACUCGAACUUCAUCAUUUCUAUUGGUAAUCUCUCCAUAUUAGCAGGCCCCAAAUUUGUUUGUCUUGAUGGCAAUGGGAUCUAUUCUCUAUUAUGCUCCUUCAUGGUAUUUAUUGUUUUAAAAUAUUUUAGAAUUAUAACAGUGGCACCUCUUUGAUCCCCUCUAGUGAUUUUUUGGAUUGAAAAUCAUGAAAACUUAGAUUAUGGGAUGGAGGUUCGUGUGCAAAUAUGUUUGCACAUGUGCAGCUGACAUUUGAAGUGAUUCUAGUUUUGUUAAUUAGACAAAAUUAUGUAAGUUUUACUUUGUAGUUGAUCUGUUUUAGACUCAUCAUUGGGACUGGGGGGAAUAUCAGAUGCACGGGAAAUAAAAAAUGAUUCUAAUUCUUGUCCUUAAACAAGUUUUUUGUUUUUAACUCAAAAAUAACUUUGUUUUUUUGUUGUGUAUGUCAGAACAUUUUUUUCCUAAGCAUCUAUUAUCUACUGUGUAGCUUCUUGAGAUUUUGAAAAAGUACUGAUGCUAGAAGCAUUAUGAAAAUGGUGGAAGAAGUGCUCUUCUUUUCUUUUCUUAUCUUUUUAUCCUCUGCUGAUUUUGUAAAAUUUUGAAGUUUUGUUGAAUAAUGUUUUAGGAUUAUCCUUAUUUUCAUAAUUUGGAGUGCACAGGUAAAAGUUCAAGGGCGAAUGCAUUAAAUAAUGGCCAUGGAUCUUUGCAGCCCAGUCGUAGAAUAUGGAUUCUCCUUCUAUAAGAUCUGGUUAUUUUCAUACUUGUUUUAAAGUCCUCAGGUUGAGAUCUUCAGUAUUUAAGAGGGCUCCUUUUCCACACAAAGACUUGUUUGGAAAAUGGAGGAACAAGUAGCUCCGCAAAAUAUCAGACUUUAAGCAGUAAGCCACAAAGCUCUGGGGUCAGUGUCCCAACUGUUCUUGCACAUGCUAGUUUGGUGGCUUGGAAAAUAUUAGAUCACCUUGAGAGAAAUCCAUCCACGGUAAAGGUAAAUCUGCUGGCUUGAGGCUAGCCACUUCAUGGAAGAGAAACCUCAGUCCUCUGAUCCAGCAACUACUGUGUCCAGCAAUCUUAAUAGCCCAACCUUAUUGGGAGUUCUAGGUUCUUCUGAAAAAUCCAAUCAUGUUCGAAAAAUAAUCCUUGGGAGCCCGUUAAUGGUGUUAAUGACUUAAUGCCUCUAUAAAUGAUAACACCAACUUUAUAAAUGAAAGUUGGUACAGCUUCAAUAAAUGGUGACUACGUAGGGCCUUCACAAGAUUCCAGAUAACUCUGGGAUUCUCAGCUUACAAGCGUGAAUGAGGAAUUUACUAACCUUUGCAUUUGGUUCUUUGCAGAGUAUAAUAUGAAGUUGCCAAAUUCAAGUGUUGCAAAACACCAGGCAAGCCCAUCAAUUUAUAAAUAGAUAUAUGUUUUUUUUUGUACUGCUAAAUGGAUACAUGUUUAAUAGUUCUUAUUGCAUCCUUUUUCCAAGUCCAUCUUGAAUCCGGUCAUUUUUCUGCAAUUUCACUCCGAUUUUGUGCGAGGCAAGGACGGAUAUAAGGUCUUCCCACUCCGAAUGUGCAUAACCUGCUUUAUUAAUACUUUUAUCAUUUUUUAUUAAAAUAUUUUAAUCUUUUUGUUAAAUAUUUAAAUACAAAGAUGUUAUUUUUUUUUUGUUAAUUAAGAACUCUAUGCAUAUAAUUAAUGUUAUCUGAGUCACUGAUCAUGUCAUUAUUCUCAUCCAUUCAUACAUAUAAUUACUGUAUGCAUCAAAUUCAAUAGAAUGAGGGAUCAUUGAUAUAAUUUUGGUUCAUGGAGAUUGAAGCUGAGAUAUACAUGUCCUUAUAGGGCAUGGAUUAUUUCAUGGUCAGUCCAUGUUGGCCCAAAAGUAAGUUUUAGUAUAGAUAUUGAGACUGGGGGAGACAAGUGGUGACCCAGAUGUUAAGAUGAGCUAGUAGGCAGAGCAAAUUCUGAUCACAAAUUGAAGAAUUUAGAACAUGAUGCCACAGGAAUCACAUGUUUGCUCCCAUUUUCAUUACAAGAAGAACUUAUCCCCAUUUCAGCUAAGUUUGUCUGUCACCUUGUGGACCCAACUUAUCCCCAUUUCAGCUAAGUUUGUCUGUCACCUUGUGGACCCUUUCUUCUUCUUCAUUGUAUCCUUUUCCUUAUUGCUCUUUAUAUGAUAUUGUUUAUUAAGGUUGUUUAAGCAACUAAUCUACCUUUAUUCCUUG